rnacentral:rRNA from 1 species
UACGUAGGGUGCGAGCGUUAAUCGGAAUUACUGGGCGUAAAGCGUGCGCAGGCGGUUUUGUAAGCCAGAUGUGAAAUCCCCGAGCUCAACUUGGGAACUGCAUCCGAGACUGCAUUGCUAGAGUAUGGGAGAGGGAAGCGGAAUUUCUGGUGUAGCAGUGAAAUGCGUAGAUAUCAGAAGGAACAUCAGUGGCGAAGGCGGCUUCCUGGACCAAUACUGACGAUCAGGUGCGAAAGCGUGGGGAGCAAACAGG